UCUCUCUGUGAGGGAGGGAGGAAAAGCAGGCAGGCGCAGGCGCAACGCCCGCCUGUCUGAUCGCCUGCCUGCAGCCCGAGCUUUCUCAGUGCAGUUGCCCGGGAGUUGAUGGCAGCGCUGGAGCGCGCCCAGGGCAGCGCGCCACGGGGACCCGAACACAAAAUGUGCCGCCGGGAGGGAAGCAGCGGCCGCAGCAGCUCUGGGGGGUCGAAGCGGGACGGGGACGGGCGUCCUUCGGGAGCCAGUCAGCUCUCCUGACCUGUCUGCGUCCUCUUCCCCACCCUGCGCCCCCACCAAAGAAUGUCAGCCAAGUCCAAGGGAACCACCUCCUCCUCCGCCACCUCCUCCUUGGUGUCCUCUCCUGCCGAAGGGCUGCCUGCCGCCUCCAAAGCCAAGGUGAAGGAGCAAAUCAAGAUCAUCGUGGACGAUCUGGAAUUAGUCCUGGGGGACCUGAAGGACGUGGCCAAAGAACUGAAGGAGGUGGUUGACCAGAUUGAUACACUCACUUCUGACUUACAGCUGGAGGAUGAGAUGACUGACAGUUCUAAAACUGACACAUUGAACAGCAGCUCAAGUAGCACAACGGCAUCAAGUUUGGAAAAAGUCAAGGCGCGAACCAAUGUACCACUCAUCAAGCCACCAUCUGCCAUUCUCACAGUAUUAAGGAAGCCUAAUCCACCACCACCUCCUCCACGGUUGACUCCUGUGAAGUGUGAAGAUCCUCAAAAGCCAGUUAUCCCUGCCAACCCUGUAAAAACUAAUGGGACUCUACUGCGAAAUGGAGGUUUACCAGGAGGGUCAAAUAAAAUCGCAAAUGGAGAUAUAUGUUGUAUACCUAAUAAUAAUUUGGACAAAGUUCCAAUGCAACCUCUGAUGCAUAGACCUGAAAAAGACAGGUGUCCUCAGCCUGGAACAAGGGAACGGGUACGAUUUAAUGAAAAGGUGCAGUACCAUGGCUAUUGUGCUGACUGUGAUGUUCGGUAUAAUAUUAAAAAUAGGGAGAUUCACUUGCACAGUGAAUCUGUUCAUACACUGGGAAAGCUUCCUCACCAGUGUCCUCCUUUACCACCGCCACCUCCCCCACUUCCUCCUUUUUCACUUGAAAAUGGGGGAAUGGGAAUAAGCCCCAGUAGUAGCUUUCCCCCUCUCAGACCUGCAACUGUGCCUCCACAAACUGAAUCAAAACCCCAGAAGACCAUCUUGAGGAAAUCAACCACUACAACAGUGUGAUGUAUCCCACCUGGAAAACUUUGUUUUUCUUAUGUAUAAACAUAAAAAAGCUCCUUUAGGCUGGAAGGAAUGUCAACAUUUGGAGGCAUAUUGGCCAGUUUCUCCCAUGACAGAUUCAAUGUUACAAUUUCUUACAGGCCAGAUUUGAUUAUAAUAACUUGGACCUAUUUAGAGCAUGGAAACCCUUGAGCCAGAGCAGAAUGGAUUACCGGUGUAAUUUGCAUUAAACCACUGGCUUCAUAUCCAAAAGCUAUGAGUUAAGACCUGAUAAAAGCCACAGCCUUAAGUACAUUCUGACAGAAAGAAGAUGGAGGAGUUCAUACCUUUUCUGCCACAAAAACAGUUAUCUCUCUAAGCCUGUUACUAAAGGAGUUCAAUUCUAACAAAUCAAGAACAGCAAACAGUAAUCCUGUGGUCCAGCCAGAGUUCCAAAAGUAUUCAAAUAUAUGUAGCUAAAUGAAAGUAUGAAUUAUGAAGCACUUAAACAACUGCAGAAAAAUAAAUGCAUUUGCUCUCAACAAAAGAUUAUCAUCUUGGGUGGAAAGAGAAGAACUUUGAUAUUCCUUGUGCAAAUUCAAAGCCAUAGGAGAGGACCAAUGACGCUGACAUGCUUGAAAGUUUAUUAUACCUUGUCAUCCACCCAAAUGAUUCAUCCGUUACAGAUUGCAUCUCAAUGCACUUCUAAUGUUUGCACUGUAACUUCCAUUCAGGGAAAAUGAUGUAGGUCAUCAUUUGCACAGAUGACCACAUGGAAUUUUAGUCCAUAGCAAGCAGUUCUUGGGCUACUAGAGAAAAUCAAACAAAUCUUCAAAGUGAAGAACAUUUAAUGCCCAUCUCUCCCUCCACAGCUGGAAAGUUUUUCACAAGGCAAAUUGUCCUUCCUUAAGAUUAAGAUGUUUGAAAAGCAUCAGCAAGCAGACAUUAAAAUGGAUCUAGUUUUUAAAACAUUUUUAUAUCAUUGUAAUGACCAAGAAAUUGACAUAUCUCUUACAUGUUGCUAAUGAACAUAGACAGUGUAU